ACAGCAGUAGCCGCGGUAAAACGGAGGGUGCAAGCGUUAAUCGGAAUUACUGGGCGUAAAGCGUGCGUAGGCGGCUUCUUAAGUCGGAUGUGAAAUCCCUGAGCUUAACUUAGGAAUUGCAUUCGAUACUGGGAAGCUAGAGUAUGGGAGAGGAUGGUAGAAUUCCAGGUGUAGCGGUGAAAUGCGUAGAGAUCUGGAGGAAUACCGAUGGCGAAGGCAGCCAUCUGGCCUAAUACUGACGCUGAGGUACGAAAGCAUGGGGAGCAAACAGGAUUAGAUACCCCGGUAGUCCCUGUCUCUUAUAC
rnacentral:rRNA from 1 species